rnacentral:rRNA from 1 species
GACGAACGCUGGCGGCGUGCUUAACACAUGCAAGUCGAACGGAAAGGCCCUGCUUUUGUGGGGUGCUCGAGUGUCGAACGGUUGAGUAACACGUGAGUAACCUGCCCUUUACUUUGGGAUAACUUCAGGAAACUGGGGCUAAUACCGGAUAGGUGCUCCUGCUGCAUGGUGGGCGUUGGAAAGUUUCGGUGGUUGGGGAUGAAAUCGCGGCUUAUCAGCCUGUUGGUGGGGUAGUGACUUACCAAGGCUUUGACGGGUAGCAGGCCUGAGGGGGUGACCGGCGACAGUGGGACUGAGAAACGGCCCAGGCUCAUACGGGAAAGAGAAGUGGGGAAUAAUAAACAAUGGGCGGGAGGGAGAUGCAGCAACGCCGAGUGCGGGAGGACGACAAUAGGGUUGUGAACCGAUAUCGCCUGGGACGAGACGUGAGUGACGGUAAUGGGUAAAGAAGCACCGGCUAACUACGUG